ACACUAUAGGCACGCCACUGGAUCCGCCGAUAAGUCAACUUCAUCAGUGUUUUCUCGUUGAUCUAGAAGGAACCAGCAAACGAGCGAGAUAUCAAUCGAAAGAUCUCGUUGUCAGCUUUCCAGAUCAUCUUCCCGAUCGUAAAACCAAGGCACGGUUGGAAAGUUAUUGACGUUGCUUCUUGGCCAAGGAUAAGCUGAAGCUUUAGUGAUGCAGAUACAGUUCCGACCAGUUUCAGCGUAAAGGCCAAACGGCCGACCUAAAUGAAAGCUUUCAAUCUGGAAAUUUGUCACUAAGUAUUUCACUCUUUUAUCUAUCGUCUCCAAGAAGCGGAUUGUCAUUUCGAGUUAUUUUCUGAAAGUUGUGUUUGUUUUCGUGAGAAAUAUUACUGCAGUCUUCGUUUGCGACCAGCCUGGAGGUGAAGCUAAUUUGGUUAAUCAAAUGGUGUCCGAUCGGAGUGAACUCGGUGUCUAUGGACAGAGGACAUAUAGGACUACAUUAUGACCGGACGGAUUGAAAAGUUAACGAGAGUUCCAGAGUUGCUGUUUCAGAGUCGUCAAGGUUCAUUAUGUGUUUUCUCAGGUUAUCUUCAGAACUCGUGGCAAAGGUGAGACUGGCGGACAGAAGUGAUUGCUAUUGGAUGGGUGCUUUGGGAGUUUUAUUUCUUAUUUUCAGACUUCGGUUUUAUGCUUUUAUCGAUAUUUUCCGAGAAUUAUGUGAAUAUUGGAUUUAUGGUUAGUUAUUGGAUUUAUAAUGAGUAAUAAAUUGAGUAUUUUGAAGAUUA